AAAGAGGAAAUUCUCUCUUUAGAAAACAUGUUUGGAGAUACCGUGUCAAUAUUAGUUCAGGGUCUUUGAAAAAAUUAUGCCUUAUAGUCUAUUUUAUGGCAUAAGAGAUGACCUUUUAGGGCUUUUAACCAAAAGGUGCAAUAAUCUCAUGAUAGUGUAUUUAGUGGACCUUCAAAGAAUUUCUUCAAAACUUUAACUAUGAACAUUGUUAGGACAGAACGAAGACAGUGCUGUGCUUUUGUUAUUGUCUGGUUCCAGGGCAAAAGCACUGUGUCUGAUGAGAGAUGCUAUCCUGAGAUGGGACAUGUACCUUCAGCUGCUUCUCCAGCCUUUUGUGCUUGUCUUUGAGACAUCAAAAAAUGCAGCAAUAAUACCUCUUCUAGAGUUAACCAGGACUAUGGUUAAGCAGAUCCUUGCUACAUGCAGAAGAGAAGGUUCUCUUGCAAGUCUGUGGAUGAGUUAUCCACCAGCAAUUCCAGGUUCAAAGGAGACAGUGAGUUGGCAUGGAGGAGAAACAACUUACAGUUCUGUCUGCUGGUCAUGAACACUUGGAAUCCUCUGGGCUUCAUCACAAUUUUGGUCUCUUGAAAAAAAAAUACUUUUUCCAUUCACUUUUCUGUGACUGUUAUUUUUCUUUCCUCAUCACUGAGAAAACAAAAGUCUCACCCUAGGGCCUGACAGCUCUUGUGUAGCCACUGCCUGUGGCAUUCUGUGUUUCCCAGCUUAUUGUGAUUAUUUAGCAAAGUCAUAAGAAUCAGGCCAGAGUUCAAGUUAGACUAAUGCAUCCUCCUACUGGAGGAGAGAAAGCUCAAUGCCUCAAGAUGAGAGAUUCCACUGUCUCAUAACUGCUACCUCUGAUCGUUCUCUCUCAAGUCAAGUCAGCCCUUGCCAGCUCAACAGCAAGAACAUGAACCUGAGCUCUACCUGGGGAUUAGAGAAAACUAGGACAAUUGAAGGUUUUUCCUUCAUAGCUGUGCUGUGGUGGAAUGGCUCUUUCUCCCUAGGAACUUCAGCCAGCCAGGUAGCAUUGCCACUAGGGCUGAGCAAAACAGCUUUACUGCAGGUAGCAGAGAAGGGCUGCCCACCUCUACGACCAGGAAGCAUUUGAUUCAUCUGCUGAGCAGCACCUGGGUCAACAAUAUAAUUAUUGUGAUGAGACAUCCUCAUUCAGCUGAAGACAAUCAUGGAAACCCUGUGGGAAACUAACCCUUUUGAAGAGAAUAAAUCAGCUCUUUUUUUUGCAACUGAUCUUUUGUUCAGAUUGUUCGUGGUGUUGGGGAAUAAGCUGGUCACCAGCGAGCACCAAGCGGUGGGACAGAAGGACAGUGUAACUCCAACACUUUGUUGGAGUAGAGAUGGAGGAGGCAAGGAGAGGCCUGCAGGCAGGUUUAGAGCCUGAAGCUCAUUUAACAUAGUUUUACAGAACUGGUAGCUGAGAAGAAAGUGGGGGGAAGCAGAUCUCCCACAGGAAAUCCCACUGUUGCAGGCAGUGGCUUUCCUUAUGCCACAAAUCUCUAGGCUUUUUGCAACCUCUGAUGACAGGAUUUGUGGGGUGAAAGUGCAAUAGCAGCAUGGCCUCCUGGUCAACAGUACAUACACAGCAGUCAGGUGGAUGGGUAUUUCUUCCAUGUCUCCAAACCCAGUGUCCAAAGGAUAGGCAAACGAGGUGACCCUCUCUUUCUUCUCAGGCUGUUCCUCCAAAUGAAGAGUGUCAUAAGGCCCAGGGGCAUUUAUCCACAUUUCUAUCCUUGUUGCACAUAUUGUGUCUCAUUGCAUUCACCUAGGUUUCAAAUUCCUUCCCUGUCUUCUAACAAUGUAUCUAGUCUUUAUGUUCUUCUGUGUCCCAGGAUGUUUCACCACUGGAAUUAAGGACCUUAUCCAUGUUUAAAGUCAAAAGCCUGGAUCUGGUGAAUUGUAGAGGACUGUGGCUUUUUUACUUGUGGGUGAGCCCCAUUUCUGCUUUGAGGACUCCUUUCUGGAGUACCUGUAGCCUCUUUUGACUGGGGAGGUUUGGUUAAAAUUUAGGGGAAUGAGUCCAAACAGUGUUUGAGAAGAGUACCAAUAGCUGAGACAGAGGACAAAUAAAUGUACCCAAGUAUGGGUGAGUAAGCUUGGCAUUUGGGCUUUUUUUGUUUUGCCAGGCUUGUUAGUAGGGGUCUUGGUUGUGACUUCAGCAUACAUUCAAAUAACUAAGUACAAUUCAAUUUUUUAUAUAAUCACAUCAUAUUUUAGUUUGUUGCAAUUAAUCUUACUGGGAUUUGAGCAACAA